AGCUUGCUUGUUGCUGGGGAAAAGACUUGCUGCUUUGUGUUUCAUUUGAUGAAGAGCUUCUUUUCAUUUAGUCAGUCACUUAUUUCCAGAGGUUUCCUGGUGAUGUUGCCUUACAUUUAUUUGUGGAAAUGCCAGUAUGUUUUAAGCUUGCAGCUUCCACAAGUCAGGAUUCCAGCCACGGCUUAGCUGGAUCCUCUCAGAAGGCUACGAUCAAGGUGUCAGCCAGACUGAGUUCUCAUCAGAGGCUCGACUAGGAGAGGAUCUGCUUCCAAGUUCCCUCAGGUUGUUGGAAGGAUUCAUUUUCUUGUGGCUAAGCUCACAGCAGCUUUCUUCUUCAAGGGCAUCAGGAGAGUGGAGAGCAAGUCUACUCAGAGACUUCUAUACAAAUCAUAAGACAUAAAGUACUCUUCGACUGCCUAUUGGGAGACAAUUUCCACAGCUCUCUCAUGUUUCUGCACAACUUGUAAGCAAGAUAAGACUCUCUUAUCCUCUGGACUCUAUCUUCAAGAAUACUCAUAUAGUGAACAGUGUCUUCUUCCUGAGUGAAGGGCGUAAAUGCUACUUUCCAUUUUGAAAGAUUCAAGUUCCCUGAGCUCGGAAUUCUUCUAUAAUGCAACCCAUUGUGUGUGCAGGUAUCACCUGGCCUUCUUCCCAAUACCCUGUGGGAAUUGGAGCUCAGGGAACCUUCACAGAAAUUCUGAUAGUCUAGCUACUGCUAUUUCUGUCAGUAAUAAAUUGUUUCUGACCCAGAAGUCUUGUGUCUUCUGCUGUCACCCAUGAAACUAUGAGGCUAAAUUGUUAGAUUACAAGUGGGGUAAAAUCUUGGACACUUCCCAGUUCUUGACACUGACUAAAAUACAUGCAUAUUCGUUUUAUCAAGUCAGUUUGAAAAAAAAAUCUAUGAAUUAAAAUAAUUACAAAAUUCUAAAGACUGAAUUUGUAAUAUAUUGGAUGAACAAAACCCUCUACCUUGGUUCUGAAAUUCUUGAUAGUUGAGAUAUGUGUAACAUUUGUAAUUUGGGAUACACAAGUAAUUCUCUAUUUAAAAGGUCAUAUAUCCAAAAUAUUGAAAAAUCUAGAAUACAUUAAACUUUAGCUAUCCAUGGUGAAAGGCAGUGGCAAAACAGCUGCAGAAAAGCUGAAACUAGAUUCAAUUAAAUCUUUGUGCCAAAACCAAGUACACGAAAAUCUCCCAAAGCUGUUAAAACUAUACAGCUUAUUUGCUAUAAAUUUUAAAAAUGGUUAUAUAAAACAAGUUUUGAAGUAAUUUGGUAAAUUGACCAAUUUUUCACUCGUUGAUUUGUUGUAGGUAAUGAGGGAUGGUGGGGAGUGGAGAAGGGUUCAGAGAACUUGGGAAGGAUAUAAAAAUGGAAGUAUGUGGGGCAAAUGCCCCCAAUUACAUGUCUUAAUCAAGAACACCAGCCUAUGGUCAAGGGAAUUUUCAUAUACAGAUGAGAGCUAGUCUCACUUGAUGUUUCUGCAUUAAAACUGUUACAAAACAACUUCUUUAUCAAACGAAUACAAUCACAUUUAGUAGAGGCUCUAGUUAAGACCUGAGGCUAUACUGACCUGGGUUAGAGACCUGGCUUUUACAUUUUUACCUAAUCUCUCUAAGCCUCAAUUUCUCAGUUUUAAAAGUGCAGGUAAUCAUAGCACGUGUUUCCCAAGGAUGUUGUAAAGAUUAGUGUCAGGAUGGCUGAGUGGUGUAAGGCACCAGACCCAAGGAUGUUGUAAGAUUAAUUGAAAUAUCCAUUUAAAUCGCUUAGCAUGAUACCUGCUAUGUAGAAAGUGCUUAAUAGCCUUGACAGUAUAUAUCAUUAAGAAAUUUCCUUGGAAUGGGAAUUUCAAACCACUUUAUCAAAUAUACUUACUUCCUCACUUACUUUUGUGGUUUGGUAGCUUUUUCUUUACACAUUUAGGAGGUGGGGAAGCACAAAGAUAUAGCACUUUCUUUUUUUUUCCUUUGAGACAGAGUCUCGCCGUCACCCAGGCUGGAGUGCAGUGGCGCGAUAUUGGCUCACUGCAACCUCCGCCUCCCAGGUUCAAGCUAUUCUCCUGCUUCAGCUUCCUGAGUAGCUGGGACUACAGGUGCACGCCACCACGCCCGGCUAAUUUUUGUAUUUUUAGUAGAGACGGGGUUUCACCAUGUUAGCCAGGAUGGUCUCGAUCUCCUGACCUUGUGAUCCACCCGCCUCAGCCUCCCAAAGUGCUAGGAUUACCGGUGUAAGCCACCACACCUGGCCAGAUAUAGCACUUUCUAAAAGGUCUAUAAAUCUUUCUAAAGAUUAAUAUUGAGCGGGAUCAGUGUGUUUUAGGGAAUCCAGAUACUGCACACCACUUUGCAAAUGUUUAGAUUUUAGCAGAACAACAAAUGGACUUUGCAAAGACUGUCUUUUAAUUAUUAAACCUCUAUUUAUUAAAAAGAAAUUAGGCCAGGCACAGUGGCUCACGCCUGUAAUCCCAGAACUUUGGGAGGCCAAGGUGGGUGGAUCACCUGAGGUGAGGAGUUUGAUCAAGACCAGCCCGGCCAACAUGGUGAGACCACAUCUCUACUACAAAUACAAAAAUUAGUCGGGCGUGGUGGCAGGCACCUGCAAUCUCAGCUACUUGGGAGGCUGAAUGAAUUUACAGAUACUCAGGAAGGCACACAUUAUAUAAGUUAAAAUUCAGUUCAACUAUGAGUGACAGAAAACCCUAAUGAGCAGUAGCUUAAACAUACAAUGUUUACUUCCUCAAACAAAAUGUCUGCCUGAUAUGUAGCUGGUGUGAGGCUCCAUGGUGUCAGGGUCCCAGGUUUCUUUUAUCUAUGGCUCUGCCAUGUUUAUCACAUGAACCAUAAUGACUGCUUGAGCUUCUUAUGGUCUAAAAUGGUUUCUUGAGUUUCCUAUCCCCAUCCAGUCAGGA
rnacentral:lncRNA from 1 species